rnacentral:rRNA from 1 species
GAUGCAUACCCGUUGUGGGGAAUUCAGUGAUCCUAUGCUGCCGAGAAAAGCCUCUAGUGAGUUCAUACACGGCCCGUACCCCAAACCGACACAGGUGAUCAGGUAGAGAAUACCAAGGCGAUCGAGAGAACUGUGGUUAAGGAACUCGGCAAAAUGCCCCCGUAACUUCGGGAGAAGGGGGACCAUGCCCGGUGAACAUCUUCACGGUGGGAGCUGGGUGUGGUCGCAGAGACCAGAGAGAAGCGACUGUUUACUAAAAACACAGGUCCGUGCGAAGACGUAAGUCGAUGUAUACGGACUGACGCCUGCCCGGUGCUGGAAGGUUAAGAGGACCGGUUAGCCGUAAGGCGAAGCUGAGAAUUUAAGCCCCAGUAAACGGCGGUGGUAACUAUAACCAUCCUAAGGUAGCGAAAUUCCUUGUCGGGUAAGUUCCGACCUGCACGAAUGGCGUAACGACUUCUCUGCUGUCUCGACCACAGACUCGGCGAAAUUGCACUACGAGUAAAGAUGCUCGUUACGCGCGGCAGGACGAAAAGACCCCGGGACCUUUACUAUAGCUUGGUAUUGGCGUUCGAUUCGGUUUGUGUAGGAUAGGUGGGAGACUGUGAAGCAUGCACGCCAGUGUGUGUGGAGUCGUUGUUGAAAUACCACUCUGAUCGUAUUGGACGUCUAACCUCGGCCCAUGAUCUGGGUUAGGGACAGUGCCUGGUGGGUAGUUUAACUGGGGCGGUUGCCUCCUAAAGAGUAACGGAGGCGCCCAAAGGUUCCCUCAGCCUGGAUGGCAAUCAGGUGUUGAGUGCAAGUGCACAAGGGAGCUUGACUGUGAGACUGACACGUCGAGCAGGGACGAAAGUCGGGACUAGUGAUCCGGCACCGGCAAGUGGAAGCGGUGUCGCUCAACGGAUAAAAGGUACCCCGGGGAUAACAGGCUGAUCUUCCCCAAGAGUCCAUAUCGACGGGAUGGUUUGGCACCUCGAUGUCGGCUCGUCGCAUCCUGGGGCUGGAGUAGGUCCCAAGGGUUGGGCUGUUCGCCCAUUAAAGCGGCACGCGAGCUGGGUUUAGAACGUCGUGAGACAGUUCGGUCUCUAUCCGCCGCGCGCGUAAGAAACUUGAGGAAGGCUGUCCCUAGUACGAGAGGACCGGGACGGACGAACCUCUGGUGUGCCAGUUGUUCCACCAGGAGCAUGGCUGGUUAGCUACGUUCGGAAGGGAUAACCGCUGAAAGCAUCUAAGCGGGAAGCCUGUUCCAAGAUGAGGUUUCUCACCACCUUGCGUGGUUAAGGCCCCCUACAGACCAUGGGGUUGAUAGGCCGGAACUGGAAGCGCAGCAAUGCGUGGAGGUGACCGGUACUAAUAGGCCGAGGGCUUACC